rnacentral:rRNA from 1 species
UAAUACGAAGGUGGCGAGCGUUAUUCGGAAUCACUGGGCUUAAAGCGCAUGUAGGCGGCUGUACAAGCGUCGGGUGAAAUCCCUCGGCUCAACCGAGGAACGGCUCGGCGAACUGUACGGCUUGAGGCAGGUAGGGGUGUGUGGAACUCUUGGUGGAGCGGUGAAAUGCGUAGAUAUCAAGAGGAACGCCGGCUGCGAAAGCGACACACUGGACCUGUCCUGACGCUGAGAUGCGAAGGCUAGGGUAGCGAACGGGAUUAGAUACCCCGGUAGUCCUAGCAGUAAACGAUGCCUACUAGGUCGGAGGUUCUCUGACGGAGUUUCGGCCGAAACUAAAGCGUUAAGUAGGCCGCCUGGGGAGUACGGUCGCAAGGCUA